rnacentral:rRNA from 1 species
GGCCUUUUCGAGGGGCGGGGCUCGCGGCCCACCUCCCACCCUUGUCUCUCUACACCUGUUGCUUUGGCGGGCCCACUGGGGCUCCCUGGUCGCCGGGGGACACCCGUCCCCGGGCCCGCGCCCGCCGAAGCGCUUCGUGAACCCUGAUGAAGAAGGGCUGUCUGAGUACUAUGAAAAUUGUCAAAACUUUCAACAAUGGAUCUCUUGGUUCCGGCAUCGAUGAAGAACGCAGCGAAAUGCGAUAAGUAAUGUGAAUUGCAGAAUUCCGUGAAUCAUCGAAUCUUUGAACGCACAUUGCGCCCCCUGGCAUUCCGGGGGGCAUGCCUGUCCGAGCGUCAUUUCUGCCCUCAAGCACGGCUUGUGUGUUGGGUGUGGUCCCCCCGGGGACCUGCCCGAAAGGCAGCGGCGACGUCCGUCUGGUCCUCGAGCGUAUGGGGCUCUGUCACUCGCUCGGGAAGGACCUGCGGGGGUUGGUCACCACCACAUUUUCCAUUAUGGUUGACCUCGGAUCAGGUAGGAGUUACCCGCUGAACUUAAGCAUAUCAAUAAGCGGAGGAA